UCGAGAAUUUUUCACAAUGGGGGAAACCCUGAUGGAGCGACGCCGCGUGGAGGAUGAAGGCCCUCGGGUCGUAAACUCCUGUCAUGCGGGAACAAGAAAGUGAUAGUACCGCAAGAGGAAGAGACGGCUAACUCUGUGCCAGCAGCCGCGGUAAUACAGAGGUCUCAAGCGUUAUUCGGAUUCAUUGGGCGUAAAGGGUGCGUAGGUGGCGAUGUAAGUCUGGUGUGAAAUCUCGGAGCUUAACUCCGAAACUGCAUUGGAUACUGCGUUGCUUGAGGAUUGUAGAGGAGAGUGGAAUUCACGGUGUAGCAGUGAAAUGCGUAGAUAUCGUGAGGAAGACCAGUUGCGAAGGCGACUCUCUGGGCAAUUCCUGACACUGAGGCACGAAGGCCAGGGGAGCAAACGG
rnacentral:rRNA from 1 species